rnacentral:rRNA from 1 species
GACGAACGCUGGCGGCGUGCUUAACACAUGCAAGUCGAACGGAAAGGCCCUGCUUUUGUGGGGUGCUCGAGUGGCGAACGGGUGAGUAACACGUGAGUAACCUGCCCUUGACUUUGGGAUAACUUCAGGAAACUGGGGCUCAUACCGGAUAGGAGCUCCUGCUGCAUGGUGGGGGUUGGAAAGUUUCGGCGGUUGGGGAUGGACUCGCGGCUUAUCAGCUUGUUGGUGGGGUAGUGGCUUACCAAGGCUUUGACGGGUAGCCGGCCUGAGAGGGUGACCGGCGACAUGGGGACUGCGAGACGGACCAGAAGCCUACGGGAGGCAGCAGGGGGGAAUAUUGCACAAUGGGCGGAAGCCUGAUGCAGCAACGCCGCGUGCGGGAUGACGGCCUUCGGGUUGUAAACCGCUUUCGCCUGUGACGAAGCGUGAGUGACGGUAAUGGGUAAAGAAGCACCGGCUAACUACGUG